UACGUAGGGGGCAAGCGUUGUCCGGAAUUAUUGGGCGUAAAGCGCGUGUAGGCGGUCCGGUAAGUCGGUUGUGAAAGUCCAGGGCUCAACCCUGGGAUGCCGACCGAUACUGUCGGACUAGAGUUCGGAAGAGGCGAGUGGAAUUCCCGGUGUAGCGGUGAAAUGCGUAGAUAUCAGGAGGAACACCAAUGGCGAAGGCAGCACUCUGGGACGUGACUGACGCUGAGACGCGAAAGCUAGGGGAGCGAACAGG
rnacentral:rRNA from 1 species